CGGAUCGUAGGCUGCAACCCGCCUGCGUGAAGUUGGAAUUGCUAGUAAUCGCGGAUCAGCAUGCCGCGGUGAAUACGUUCCCGGGCCUUGUACACACCGCCCGUCACACCAUGGGAGCCGGUAAUGCCCGAAGUCAGUAGCCUAACCGCAAGGAGGGCGCUGCCGAAGGUAGGAUUGGCGACUGGGGUGAAGUCGUAACAAGGUACC
rnacentral:rRNA from 1 species